rnacentral:rRNA from 1 species
AUGAUGAUCUCAUUAUUAACUAUUCUCGCAAAACCGCUCCACAGAACCGCUGUUAACCAUUGGUCGUUGAGGAGGCGUAUUCUCAAAGGACCCAUAUCUACUGCUGUGUUAAUGGGGGCGUGGUUUGGUAAUACGCCAAUUUGGCCACUUUUAGUGGAUAAAAUGAUUUCUUUCACUUCACAAUCCCAAAUAAUUCGCUUAGGAGUCAGUACAUAA